GUCACUGCCACGAGAGUUUAAAUGUAAUUGCAACUAGAACUGCAUGUGAUGCAAAAGAAACCUAAGCAGCAUUAAACUUAAUAUUUCUAAACAUGAUUCUAAAAAGUUAUAAAACAUGAAUCUACAGAUGAAUAAGGGCAUUAUAUUAAAAAAAGAGUUGACUCAUGUCUGUACAUACCUAAACAGACCUGGCCAUGGGCCCAUUCUGGUUAGGUUCCAGGCCAAAACAACUGGUUUGGCCAGCCUCAAGGUUUGAAAUGCUUCCUGCAGUUUUGGUUUGCUAUGGUUCCAGUUCAAAACGGUUUGAUAUGAUUUUGGUCCAGUUCGGCCCAGGUAUUAUCAAAUUAUAAUAAAU
rnacentral:misc_RNA from 1 species